UCCAGACUCCUACGGGAGGCAGCAGUGGGGGAUAUUGCACAAUGGGGGAAACCCUGAUGCAGCGACGCCGCGUGAGUGAAGAAGUAUUUCGGUAUGUAAAGCUCUAUCAGCAGGGAAGAAGAUGACGGUACCUGAUUAAGAAGCCCCGGCUAACUACGUGCCAGCAGCCGCGGUAAUACGUAGGGGGCAAGCGUUAUCCGGAUUCACUGGGUGUAAAGGGAGCGUAGACGGCGACGCAAGUCUGGAGUGAAAGCCCGGGGCUCAACCCCGGGACUGCAUUGGAAACUGUCAGGCUAGAGUGUCGGAGAGGCAAGUGGAAUUCCUAGUGUAGCGGUGAAAUGCGUAGAUAUUAGGAGGAACACCAGUGGCGAAGGCGGCUUGCUGGACGAUGACUGACGUUGAGGCUCGAAAGCGUGGGGAGCAAACAGGAUUAGAUACCCCGGUAU
rnacentral:rRNA from 1 species